rnacentral:rRNA from 1 species
UUAAAAUUGAGAGUUUGAUCCUGGCUCAGGACGAACGCUGGCGGCGUGCUUAACACAUGCAAGUCGAGCGAUGAAAUCCCUUCGGGGAUGGAUUAGCGGCGGACGGGUGAGUAACACGUGGGCAACCUGC